rnacentral:rRNA from 1 species
CCAAUAGCGUAUAUUAAAGUUGUUGCAGUUAAAAAGCUCGUAGUUGAAUUUCGGGAUCGACGGGUCGGUCGCGCCUCUGGUGUGUACUGGCCCUGUCGGUUUCUCCCUUCUGAAGAACCGCGAUGUCAUUAAUUUGGUGUCGUGGGAAAUCAGGACUGUUACUUUGAAAAAAUUAGAGUGUUUAAAGCAGGCAUUCGCUUGAAUACAUUAGCAUGGAAUAAUGAAAUAGGACGUUUGAUCUUAUUUUGUUGGUUUCUAAGAUCGACGUAAUGAUUAAUAGGGAUAGUUGGGGGCAUUAGUAUUCAAUUGUCAGAGGUGAAAUUCUUGGAUUUAUUGAAGACUAACUACUGCGAAAGCAUUUGCCAAGGAUGCUUUCAUUAAUCAAGAACGAAAGUUAGGGGAUCGAAGACGAUCAGAUACCGUCGUAGUCUUGACCAUAAACUAUGCCGACUAGGGAUCGGAUGAUGUUAAUUUUUUAAUGACUCAUUCGGCGCCUUACG